ensembl:misc_RNA 7SK 7SK RNA
GGAUGUGGGGGCUAUCUAGAUAUGAAAUCUGUCACUCCAGUGAUUACAAUGUUGAUUUGGUGAUCUGGCUGGCUACAGGGUGUUCCUUUCCUCCCUCACUGCUCCACAGGCAUCUUUCAGGAAGCUGCAUACUCAAUCAAAGAGGACAACCUUCCCCACUAGAGGAGGAGUGAUCUUCAGUCAAAGGUAUACAAUUAGCUGUGCUCUCCUGCUAGAACCCCCAAACAAAGCUCUAAAGAUAUUAGUGGGAAAACUAGAGAAAUUUCAGUCUAUAGUUCAUGGCAUCAAUGCCAAUUUCCUCAUUAUAUAAGUAUAAUGUGGUUAUUU